rnacentral:lncRNA from 1 species
CUUGAAGAUUCCCUGAAGCAUUGGGAAGCAGAACCCCUCUGUUCUGCCUGGGUGCAUUCACUUCCAGGAUACAGAGCCAUGCUUCUCAGCUCUCAUUCUGAUACUCUGACAUUCAGGAUCUUUGCUGCAAAAAGGGCUCGGCUUCCAUAAAGAAGUCAGGGAGUGCUCUUUCUGGCCCAAAUAAGUUUAACUAUCCUGAAGGAUAGGUGGCAGCUCAGUAUGGAGUUGCUAUUUUGUACACUGGUCUUUGUUUUUGCCUACACUUUGCUUUAGAUGCCUGCAUUCUUUAUUGGAUCUCACUCCUAAUUUUGUCUACAAAGUGCAGUAAAUUGGCUUACAGAAAUAUUGGAACUGGUUUCUCAGGAAGAGGACAAGUGGUAAUCUGCCUGCCUUGUGACAACUGCACUCCAAACAUUGCAAAGGACCAUUUGAUUACCAAUUGUGUGCACAUGGAAAGAAGAGUUCUUAUGUGACAGAUCUGAAUGAACUGCCUAUCCCUCCGCAGCUGCAUCUUUGAUGGGAGGUGGUAAGUGCAGUAGAGUGUGCCUUUGCUGGCCAACACAGGCACAAAUAACACAAGCAACCCCUUAGCCACCCACCCAGCCAACUUAAAUGUCCUUUGGUGGAAACCAUAUGAUGAAAGAAUUUCUGGAGGGGAAAGAAAAG